rnacentral:rRNA from 1 species
AGUGGCGAACGGGUGAGGAACACGUAAGAAUCUACCUUUCGGUUGGGGAUAACUUCUGGAAACGGGAGCUAAUACCCAAUAUGCUGUGGAGUUAAAGAAUUUCGCCGAGAGACGAUCUUGCGUCUGAUUAGCUUGUUGGGGUGGUAAUGGCACACCAAGGCGACGAUCAGUAGCUGGUCUGAGAGGAUGGACAGCCACAUUGGGACUGAGACACGGCCCAGACUCCUACGGGAGGCAGCAGUGGGGAAUUUUCCGCAAUGGACGAAAGUCUGACGGAGCGACGCUGCGUGAAGGAUGAAGGCCCGUGGGUUGUAAACUUCUUUUCUCGAAGAAGAAAAAAAUGACGGUAUUCGAGGAAUAAGCAUCGGCUAACUCUGUGCCAGCAGCCGCGGUAAGACAGAGGAUGCAAGUGUUAUUCGGAAUGAUUGGGCGUAAAGAGUCUGUAGGCGGUUUAGAAAGUCUUUUGUGAAAUACUUCAGCUCAACUGAGGCUCCGCAAAAGAAACUUCUAGACUUGAGGAAAGUAGAGGUACAGGGAAUUUCCGGUGGAGCGGUGAAAUGUGUAGAUAUCGGAAGGAACACCAAUGGCGAAGGCACUGUACUGGGCUUUUCCUGACGCUCCGAGACGAAAGCUGAAGGAGUGAUUAGGAUUAGAUACCCUAGUAAUUUCAGCCGA